rnacentral:lncRNA from 1 species
GAUGUGUCUGGCAGGCCAUACGGGACAUCUCAUCACAUUAUGGAAGACUUAUUCCAAAAUGAAACAACAGGUCUGAGGGAGACCUUGCUGUUCACUUCUUGCUCUCCGUGUUUCCUUUGAACCACAGGCAACUAGAACCUGAAUCCCCGGGACCUGGGCCACCUACGCUACUAUAGAACUGCACCGAACUGCGCUGCCUACUGCUGAACAACACGGAAGAGCUCCCAUCACCCCUAAAGUCGGACGUCUGUACAGCGGCCCGGCAUUUCAGCGACGGACUGCAUUCUGCCUGGCGUGUACGAAAUGGCUUGGAAACGGUGAGGCUCUAUCACCACGAGCCCGGCUUGUCAUCGUCAUGAGGUAUAAAUUCACAGGUUUUACAAAGGCCCACCAAGCACCCUACAAAAGAAAGGAGAUACUCAAGCUAAACAUUAUCAUUCUAAAAGGUAUUCAUAAACCAUUGGUGUUAUUCCUUUUCUAAUAAAACCCC